UUACUCUGUACCUGCAUUGCUGACAGGUUGACGGUUAUCUUUUCAAUGAGGAGGAGAAGCGCUACGUGAAGAUCAUCUGGGAAAAAUUGAACCCGGAAUAUGAGGUAAAAGCAGCUAAGGAAGCAGCCGCGUUAGCUGCAAAGGAGGCUGACGAGUCCAUUUUAGCUAACAGUUCGGAGGAUGUGCAAGCUGCACGGGAGCUUUCUGCUGCUGCUAAUAAUAAUGUUGCGAAGUCAAGAAAGGAAAAACGACAGAAAAGGGCUGCAGAACUGAAAAAUUCUGGUCCUGCUCAAACCCCUGCAGAAGCAACAAAGCAAAUGUUAACUAGGAAGAGGCUGAACUCUAAGAUCAACUUUGAUGUGCUAGAAAAGCUUUUUGACGAGUCUGCAAUUCGAGAUAGCAAAAUUGAUCCCGAAGUAGACGAGACGUACGAAGAACCAUAUGCGUUACGAUGAGGAUGUUGGAGGAUAUGAAUAUGAUUAUGACUAAUAUUGAAUUAAUCUGCAUUCCUUAUUAUUAACUUAAUGAUUUCCCCUUACAAAAAGAGUAUAUGAGAAGUCAGGUAACACAUUUUCCUUCACUUGUAUAUUAGGAAUUGUUGGUCCUGGUAGCCAAUUGAAUGUCAAAGUUAUUAGUAUGUUUUAAUUAUAUCAAUGACUAAUUUAUUUCCUGGGAACACCUCCCUGUACUGGAA